GCGUGAGUGAAGAAGGCCUUAGGGUUGUAAAGCUCUUUCGCACGCGACGAUGAUGACGGUAGCGUGAGAAGAAGCCCCGGCUAACUUCGUGCCAGCAGCCGCGGUAAUACGAAGGGGGCAAGCGUUGUUCGGAUUUACUGGGCGUAAAGGGCGCGUAGGCGGAACGACAAGUCAGAGGUGAAAGCCCUGGGCUCAACCCGGGAAUUGCCUUUGGGACUGCCGUUCUAGAGUUCGGAAGAGGAUGGCGGAAUACCCAGUGUAGAGGUGAAAUUCGU
rnacentral:rRNA from 1 species